AUGUAGCAAUACAGUUGCCGGCGACCGGCGGAUGGGUGCGUAACGCGUAUGCAACCUACCUUAUACAGGGGAAUAACCUUUCGAAAGGGAGACUAACACCCCAUGGUAUUGAUUUAAGGCAUCUUAGAUUAAUUAAAUAUUUAUAGGUAUAAGAUGGGCAUGCGUAUGAUUAGCUAGUUGGUAAGGUAACGGCUUACCAAGGCGACGAUCAUUAGGGGUUCUGAGAGGAAGGUCCCCCACACUGGUACUGAGACACGGACCAGACUCCUACGGGAGGCAGCAGUGAGGAAUAUUGGUCAAUGGGCGCAAGCCUGAACCAGCCAUGCCGCGUGCAGGAAAAGACGGCCUUAUGGGUUGUAAACUGCUUUUACAUAAGACUAACCGUAUAUUUGCGAAUAUACCUGAAUGUAUUAUGAGAAUAAGGAUCGGCUAACUCCGUGCCAGCAGCGGC
rnacentral:rRNA from 1 species